rnacentral:rRNA from 1 species
AUAACUAAUCGAAAGAUUAGCUAAUACCGCAUAUUCUCUGAGGAGGAAAGCAGGGGACCUUCGGGCCUUGCGUUAUUCGAGCGGCCGAUAUCUGAUUAGCUAGUUGGUGGGGUAAAGGCCUACCAAGGCGACGAUCAGUAGCGGGUCUGAGAGGAUGAUCCGCCACACUGGGACUGAGACACGGCCCAGACUCCUACGGGAGGCAGCAGUGGGGAAUUUUGGACAAUGGGCGCAAGCCUGAUCCAGCCAUGCCGCGUGUCUGAAGAAGGCCUUCGGGUUGUAAAGGACUUUUGUCAGGGAAGAAAAAGCUGUUGCUAAUAUCGACAGCUGAUGACGGUACCUGAAGAAUAAGCACCGGCUAACUACGUGCCAGCAGCCGCGGUAAUACGUAGGGUGCGAGCGUUAAUCGGAAUUACUGGGCGUAAAGCGAGCGCAGACGGUUACUUAAGCAGGAUGUGAAAUCCCCGGGCUCAACCUGGGAACUGCGUUCUGAACUGGGUGACUAGAGUGUGUCAGAGGGAGGUAGAAUUCCACGUGUAGCAGUGAAAUGCGUAGAGAUGUGGAGGAAUACCGAUGGCGAAGGCAGCCUCCUGGGAUAACACUGACGUUCAUGCUCGAAAGCGUGGGUAGCGAACAGGAUUAGAUACCCUGGUAGUCCACGCCCUAAACGAUGUCAAUUAGCUGUUGGGCAACUUGAUUGCUUAGUAGCGUAGCUAACGCGUGAAAUUGAC